UACGUAGGGUGCGAGCGUUGUCCGGAAUUACUGGGCGUAAAGAGCUCGUAGGUGGUUUGUCGCGUUGUUCGUGAAAACUCACAGCUCAACUGUGGGCGUGCGGGCGAUACGGGCAGACUGGAGUACUGCAGGGGAGGACUGGAAUUCCUGGUGUAGCGGUGGAAUGCGCAGAUAUCAGGAGGAACACCGGUGGCGAAGGCGGGUCUCUGGGCAGUAACUGACGCUGAGGAGCGAAAGCGUGGGGAGCGAACAGG
rnacentral:rRNA from 1 species